rnacentral:rRNA from 1 species
AACGAACGCUGGCGGCAUGCCUAACACAUGCAAGUCGAACGAAGCCUUCGGGCUUAGUGGCGCACGGGUGCGUAACGCGUGGGAAUCUGCCCUUUGGUUCGGAAUAACAGUUGGAAACGACUGCUAAUACCGGAUGAUGACGAAAGUCCAAAGAUUUAUCGCCAGAGGAUGAGCCCGCGUAGGAUUAGCUAGUUGGUGUGGUAAAGGCGCACCAAGGCGACGAUCCUUAGCUGGUCUGAGAGGAUGUUCAGCCACACUGGGACUGGGACACGGCCCAGACUCCUACGGGGGGCAGUAGUGGGGAAUAUUGGACAAUGGGCGAAAGCCUGAUCCAGCAAUGCCGCGUGAGUGAUGAAGGCCCUAGGGUUGUAAAGCUCUUUUACCCGGGAUGAUAAUGACAGUACCGGGAGAAUAAGCCCCGGCUAACUCCGUGCCAGCAGCCGCCGUAA